rnacentral:rRNA from 1 species
AGUGAACGCUGGCGGUAGGCCUAACACAUGCAAGUCGAACAGCAGCACAGUAAGAGCUUGCUCUUACGGGUGGCGAGUGGCGGACGGGUGAGGAAUACAUCGGAAUCUACUUUUUCGUGGGGGAUAACGUAGGGAAACUUACGCUAAUACCGCAUACGACCUACGGGUGAAAGCAGGGGAUCUUCGGACCUUGCGCGAUUGAAUGAGCCGAUGUCGGAUUAGCUAGUUGGCGGGGUAAAGGCCCACCAAGGCGACGAUCCGUAGCUGGUCUGAGAGGACGAUCAGCCACACUGGAACUGAGACACGGUCCAGACUCCUACGGGAGGCAGCAGUGGGGAAUAUUGGACAAUGGGCGCAAGCCUGAUCCAGCCAUACCGCGUGGGUGAAGAAGGCCUUCGGGUUGUAAAGCCCUUUUGUUGGGAAAGAAAAGCAGCAGGUUAAUACCCCGCUGUUCUGACGGUACCCAAAGAAUAAGCACCGGCUAACUUCGUG